rnacentral:rRNA from 1 species
CGGGUGGCAGCAGUGGGGAAUAUUGGGCAAUGGAGGAAACUCUGACCCAGCGACGCCGCGUGCGGGAUGAAGGCCUUCGGGUUGUAAACCGCUUUCAGCAGGGAAGAAGCGAAAGUGACGGUACCUGCAGAAGAAGCACCGGCUAACUAUGUGCCAGCAGCCGCGGUAAUACAUAGGGUGCAAGCGUUGUCCGGAAUUAUUGGGCGUAAAGAGCUCGUAGGUGGUUCGUCACGUCGGAUGUGAAAAUCUGGGGCUUAACCCCAGACCUGCAUUCGAUACGGUCGGACUGGAGUGUGGUAGGGGAGACUGGAAUUCCUGGUGUAGCGGUGGAAUGCGCAGAUAUCAGGAGGAACACCAAUGGCGAAGGCAGGUCUCUGGGCCAUUACUGACACUGAGGAGCGAAAGCGUGGGGAGCGAACAGGAUUAGAUACCCCCGU